AGUGAACGCUGGCGGUAGGCCUAACACAUGCAAGUCGAACGGCAGCACAGUAAGAGCUUGCUCUUACGGGUGGCGAGUGGCGGACGGGUGAGGAAUACAUCGGAAUCUACUUUUUCGUGGGGGAUAACGUAGGGAAACUUACGCUAAUACCGCAUACGACCUACGGGUGAAAGCAGGGGAUCUUCGGACCUUGCGCGAUUGAAUGAGCCGAUGUCGGAUUAGCUAGUUGGCGGGGUAAAGGCCCACCAAGGCGACGAUCCGUAGCUGGUCUGAGAGGAUGAUCAGCCACACUGGAACUGAGGCACGGUCCAGACUCCUACGGGAGGCAGCAGUGGGGAAUAUUGGACAAUGGGCGCAAGCCUGAUCCAGCCAUACCGCGUGGGUGAAGAAGGCCUUCGGGUUGUAAAGCCCUUUUGUUGGGAAAGAAAAGCAGCAGGUUAAUACCCCGCUGUUCUGACGGUACCCAAAGAAUAAGCACCGGCUAACUUCGUGC
rnacentral:rRNA from 1 species